AAAGAAUUAGUUAAAUUAUAACAUUAGCAUGUCAAGCUGAAAUUAUUAAUAAAAUUAAUAUUCUUUG
rnacentral:tRNA from 1 species